GUCCCUGUAGCGCAAUGGAUAGCGCGUUGGGCAUCUAAUCCAAAGGUCGUGGGUUCAAAUCCCACCUGGGAUG
rnacentral:tRNA from 1 species